AAGUAUCAAUAGAAUUCCUACUCUGGAGAAUGAGACUGGCUUCUCACAUGAUGCUGUCUGCCCACCAUCUUCCCAAAGUAGUUCUGUCAUAAAUUUUAGAAAAAUUGAAAUUCAGUAUUUCCUCUAGUAUAUUUAGGUGAGGAAACCCAGGAGACCCAGGAGCAGUCAGUAACUUGUCUGAUGUCACAUUGAAAACCAUGUCCAGCCCCUUUUCUGUAAUUACAAGACUCUUCCUAAUUUUUCCUUAUGCGUUUCCUCUUGAAGAGACAAGCCGAAGCUUCAGCCAUGCUAAGGAUUCACAUGC